rnacentral:rRNA from 1 species
AUUGAACGCUGGCGGCAUGCCUUACACAUGCAAGUCGAACGGCAGCACGGGAGCAAUCCUGGUGGCGAGUGGCGAACGGGUGAGUAAAGUAUCGGAACGUGCCCAGUCGUGGGGGAUAACGUAGCGAAAGUUACGCUAAUACCGCAUACGAUCUAUGGAUGAAAGCGGGGGAUCGCAAGACCUCGCGCGAUUGGAGCGGCCGAUAUCAGAUUAGGUAGUUGGUGGGGUAAAGGCUCACCAAGCCGACGAUCUGUAGCUGGUCUGAGAGGACGACCAGCCACACUGGGACUGCGACGCGGCCCAGACUCCUACGGGAGGCAGCAGUGGGGAAUUUUGGACAAUGGGCGAAAGCCUGAUCCAGCCAUGCCGCGUGCAGGAUGAAGGCCUUCGGGUUGUAAACUGCUUUUGUACGGAACGAAAAGGUUUGGCCUAAUAAGCUGAGCUCAUGACGGUACCGUAAGAAUAAGCACCGGCUAACUACGUGCCAGCAGCCGCCGUAA